rnacentral:lncRNA from 1 species
GAAAACAUCCUCACCUUUCAUUUUUUGGCAUUUUUGCCCUCAAAUCAACCUUUCAUUGCUACGACGGUCCUUCCGUCCAACUCCCGUCACUUCUACUGUUAAUUAAAGAGAGAGACAUAAUUUUUUUCAAGUCAUCAAGGGUAAAACCGUCCUCACCCAACUGAACCCUUCAUUUUCAUCUUUUUCUUCGAACAACACGAGGCAGUUCUCAUUCCAUUCCCUUCUAGUUCUUCAAAAACUUCCAUUUAUCUUCCAUUUCAAUUUUUCCUCCAUUCUCCUCUCGUAUGGUCGCAUAUCAGCAGUCGGCGUAGUGGAAACCUACGUUGAGAGUUUUUCUAGCAAGCGACGCGACAGUAAGAAUCAUUAUUCGUUCGGUAUUUUCGUUUUCCAUUUCAUAUUUUGGUGCUUUGCAUGAUUGAGUGUAUGUGUAGGAUUCUGAUAAAGUUUAUUAUUGUUACACAGGGGUUCGAGGAACAACAUGUUUCUUCCGUUUCUGAGAAAGUCGACAAUGAUCGACCCACCUCCAGCACCUUGUUAUGAUGAAAACUCUCUGCCAAGUUUUAUUAAUUUUUUGGCUUUUGUUUUUGUUGUUCAGUGCACAAAUUGUCAUCAGGUAGUGGAUACAAUAUAGCACUUUAGGAACCUAUUUUUAGUGUUUAGGAACCUAUUUUUGAUGUUCAGAACUUAUGUUGGCUGCACGGUGG